AUGCUCGGGGCGGGGCUGCUGCGUCGACCGCGCCGCCAGGCGGACGCGCGCGGACGGGUGGGUCCAGCGUCUGGCUCUGAGACUGAGGGGGCGGACGGCGCUGGGAACCGGGCGGCAGCUAGAGGCGGGCGGUUCCCGCGGGUCCUGAGGGAGGCCGGCGGCACCAGCCAGACAUUUGUUGUGCUGCAGACACCCAGUGACCCCAGAGACUUCUACCGACAGACGCACCAGUGGAACAGAGCAGUGGACACAGCGGACUGCAGUGGCUGGUGAGUUAUUUGGGUUCCGACAUCCCCCAGGAAAGGGCCGUUGUCCAGCAGCCAUGU
rnacentral:lncRNA from 1 species